AACGAAAAAUAUUUUUUUUUAUUGCGCAAUUUAUGCCGUAAUUUCUGUGACGAAACUAGAUAGACUCUCUGGAUUUUAGGACAACAAUUCCGACGUGGAGGUUUUUUAUUUAACAGUCAAAAAAAAUAAGCAUCAAACGAAUCCAAAACGUAUUAAGGAGUUUGUUUGUCAUGCAUAAUUGGGAACUUAGAUAGGAAUACAAUUAUUGUAUUCGCUUCGACAUUCGAUUUCUUAAAUCGUGUACUUGGUGACACUGGUUACUGGUAGCAUUCGAUACAAUCGUUUAAAAAAGUGUGAUUUAAAAUCAAUAUAGAUAAAGUCAACCGGAUAGAAUAACAGAAAUCGGAAUAACACAUCUUUGUGAUUUAUUAUUAUAAGGGCCGGAUUAAAGUUGUCAUCGAGUUUCAGUUUAACCAAAGAGAGGUUCGAAUGCUUGUAAGACCCCAGACAGCACAAUGAAGUUGAUGUUCGCUGUAAUUGUGGUUAUGUCAAUUCGCGUUUCUGUUACCUACAAAGUCCAUAUUGAUGUCAAAGGAAUCAUACAAGAAGGCAAAAACAUCACUCUCGAGUGUAAAACCGACGCUCCUGAAAUUACAUUUUCCAUAAACAGAAAAUUCAACAACGGUCAAAAUGAAACAAUCGCUGAAUGUGAAUUCCGAACUGAACAAUGUUAUUUCUUAAAUGGGUCAUUCUUGCCAAUGUAUAAUAUUUCUUCGACCAACAACGGAGGAAUAUUGACAAUAUAUAGUUUGUCAGUAAUGCAGGAAGGGGAGUACACGUGUUUUUAUACGUAUAACUCCUCAAUCAACGCUACUGUACAUAUAGAAGUAAUGAAGUACCAUGACGCGAGAAGCAAUGCUGGCCAUGUAAUUGCAAUAUGUGUUGGUGUUGGGGUUGUAAUCAUCAUAUGUGUGGCAGUAUGCAUUAAGAGAAAACAAACAUGCGGAAUGCUACACACGCUAUGCCCUGGUACAGACGCAGCAGCUUUUCCAAAAAAUGAUGAAAAUCAAGCAUGGCUUAUGUCGAACAAAGAUGGCAAGAAAGAAGACAGAAAAUAAACAGAAAUUCGCUCGGAAGGAUACUGCAAAUAGGAAACAGCUAAAAGGGACAGACAUCUUUAUCAAUGAAGACAUGACCAAACUUAACUUACAUGUCCUUAUGUGCGUGAAAAAGAAGAUGCCAGACGAAAUAAACAGUGCUUGGUUCAUGAAUGGUAAGAUCUUUUACAAGAACCAUAUGGACAAAAUUCAAACUGUGCAAUUUGAAGACUAUGAACAUUGGACGAACCUGCCAUGGCCAAACAACACACCGAAGAGAAAGUAAUGUACGCACCACACUUGGACGCUUUUCUUUGUUAACAAGUAUAGAAUAGUGUAUGUUCGAUAUAGAUUAACGCUUCACUGACCACAGUGAUCCGCUGAACAAAGUGUGACAAUAUAAAAUCUACUGUGUCACGAUAAAGAUUAACGCUUUACUGACCACAUUAUUUCGCUGACUGAACGAAGUGUGAUUAUAUAAAAAAUACUGUGUCACAUUAGGCAUAAUUAAUAUUAAGAACGCUUUAUUUUUUAAAGAAAGUUUGACUUAACAAAUACAAUUCAAGCACAAUAUUUACUCGUGAAGUAUUUUUUGUAAACUAUAUACAACUCACCGCGGUUUAUAUAUGUUUUAAACCACCUAGAACAAGCAAUUAAUAUGCAUCUUGUUGUUUGCUACAUUGGUACAAAUGUUUGUCUGUCACUGUCAGCCUUCGUCAUGCUUGUUGGAGGUGUAUGUCGAACAUAGAUGUAUUAGCGACCAUGUGUGUAUGCUUGCAGGCGAAUAGGAUUAUGUGUACAUGCGUUUUUUGUAUUUUUGCAAACAUGGAUUUGUUAAAUUUUGUUUUAUAUAAAUAAAACACAACUUUUUUCUAGGCAGGUGUGCGUUUUUUGUUUUUGAAUCAAUUUAAGUAAAACAACACUUUGCUGGUAUUAAUAAAUAGAUUACUGUGUUUAAUAGUUUGCGUCCACGCAUUUUGAUAAAUAUAUCAUCUUUGUUGGAGGUGUAUGUCGAACAUAGAUGUAUUAGCGACCAUAUAUGUAUGUUUGCGGGAGUGUAGGAUUAUGUAUGCAUUUUUUUGUGUCCUUGCACAAAUGGAUUUGUUAAAUUCUGUUUUAUAUUAAGACACAAUUCAUCUUAGACGCGUAGAUCUCUUAUUUAUUUAUUUUUUAUAAAUAGUCACCAUUUAAACUGGCAUAUGUGCACUGUCAUAUUUUGUCAAUUGUAUUGACUUAAAUAAUAAACUCAAUAACUCAUCUUUUAUAAACAAAUAAAUUACGCUGAGAAACAAAUUGUAAUGUUAAGACAACAAAUAUUCUUUACAUAAAAUAUACAAUGACAUGAUUGGUACUUUUUUGCAACAAAUAACUAUCAGAUUUUUUUUCUCCCUACUGUGAAGGACAAUCAUAUAGAGCCCAACUCUUUACAACUAUCAUUAAUUCUAUAAUCACACAGGCAUAUUAAAAUCUAGUGAAAAUGUUGAUACAUAGCUUAUAAAUAGAUUAGUUUGUGUAGUGCAUAUUUACAUACAGAAAAACAGAAAAUCAUAGGCAUUUUAAAAUCAAGUGAAAAUGUAGAUACAUAACUUAUACAUAGCUUCGUUUUUUUAAGUGUAUAUUUAUACACAGAAAAACUAAAAAUCACAAGAAUUGCAUGUAUGUAUGUGUGUUUGUACGUGUGUAUAUGUGUAUGUAUAUGUGUAGGUGUGUAUAUAUUUGUUAAUAUAUAUGAAUAUACCUUGAACAAUAUCUCCUUUUUCGGUUUUCAAAGGAGGCAUUUGAUAAAGGUACUGACAUCUUGUUAGAAACUCUCUCUACGAUAUGUCUUCCCAGUGUGAAGAGAAAUCAAGUAGAGCUGACUUUUUUACCACCAUUAUUUUGUACUAAAAUUUUCAUUAUCCGAAGUUAAUAUUACCAAAAAUUGAUAACGAAAUAAUGAAGUUUUUUCUUUUGUGGUUGUUUCCGGAUAGUUGUGUGCACUACCAUCAUACAUAUAAGCAACAAAGAAUACUUAAAUGAUAUAUAUAUGUAUAUAUAAUUGCACAUUGGAUAAUUUAAUACAUAUAUAACCACUGAUUCAUGACAUCAUAUGUAACCGUUUUGUUGUUGUUUUGUUUUACAUAUUUCUGUUCUCGUCUUAGAUACGUUAGCAGUACAUUGGAAAAAUAUAUCAUUACUUUUUUUUUAAAAACCCAUACCAAUACCGUAUGUUUUAUUCUUUUUGUUUUUUUGCAUCUCUGUGUUUCAAUUGUUUGUUGUUUUUAUUGUUGAUUUUGUCCCUUUAUAUUUUUUUCUUUGCAUUUAUUCCACUGUAUAUGUCAUGAUGAAAUGUUUACUAUAUUUGUACAUGCACAUCACUUUUGCAUCGAAUACCAAAUCAUGGAAAAAUUCCAUUGACCUAUAUCUUAUAACAGAAAUCAACUGGACAUGUUUUAAAAUAGAAACUAACUGGACAAGCACACACAAAUUAUCAGUAACAUCACCCUCCACCUUUUUAAAUGAUUAAAUUAUGCACUUUGAAUGUAAAAGGGCUAAACAAUAAAGAUAAACGCAUAAAAAUCUUCAAAUGGUUAGACGAAAAAAUAUAUAGUAUAUGCCUAUUACAAGAAAGUCACUUGACACACUCUUUAGCACAAACCUUAAAAGAUGAAUGGGUCGGAGACAUCUAUCUCAGUGGACAACACACUAAUAAACAAGGCAUUGCCUUUCUGAUAAAAAAUAAUAUUGGGAUGACAGUCGAUAACUUUAAUGAAAUUAUAGUUGGCAGACAAGCAAGUAUAGAUAUCAAAAUACACGAAACACAAUUAACAUUAACCAACGUUUACGGCCCUAACAUAGAUGAUUCCUCUUUUUAUGAAACAUAACGAUCCUUCAUAAUUAAUAACCAAGAUAAAAACAUUAUAGUCGGUGGUGAUUUCAAUACUGUUCUUAACCCAUUAUUAGAUAAAAAGAAGGGAAACCUUUAUUCUCAUCCUAAAAAUAGAAACAUUUUGAAUAACAUAAUUGAUAAUUACAAUAUGUUAGACAUCUGGCGUACAGUAAAUCAAAACGAAAGCAAAUUCACCUGGCACUCAAACACAAAACCAACAAUAUUUUGUAGAUUAGACUACUUUUUAAUAUCUGAGUCACUUUGCAACAUAAUUGACACAUGUAACAUAAAACCAGGAUUUAUGACUGAUCACUCUCUAGUCGAACUUAAACUACACAAAAUACAACCUGAGAGAGGCCCAGGAUACUUUAAAAUUAGUAACAGCAUCUUAUUAGAUACACAAUAUCAAGCGCAAAUAAAACAAGAAAUAUUCAAUACAGUUCAAAAUAAUAAAGAUGCAAACCCAAACACCAUAUGGGAAGUAAUUAAAGGAAAUAUACGUAACACAACAAUCAGAUACACAUCAUUUAAACAAAAAGAAACACACAAACUUGAAGCUGAAAGCAUCAAAAUCAUUGAAACACUUGAAAAACAAUUGCAUGAAAAAACAAACGAUACAAUCGACAUUGAAAAUGAAAUAACAUUAAAAAAAAACAA